rnacentral:tRNA from 1 species
GGGCCUUUAGAUCAUUGGUAGAUCGCUGCAUUGACAUUGCAGAGGUAGAUGGUUCGAUCCCAUCAAGGCCCACCA